GACGAACGCUGGCGGCGUGCUUAACACAUGCAAGUCGAACGGAAAGGCCCUGCUUUUGUGGGGUGCUCGAGUGGCGAACGGGUGAGUAACACGUGAGUAACCUGCCCUUGACUUUGGGAUAACUUCAGGAAACUGGGGCUAAUACCGGAUAGGAGCUCCUGCUGCAUGGUGGGGGUGGGAAGGUUCGGCGGUUGGGGGUGGACUCGCGGCUUAUCAGCUUGUUGGUGGGGGAGUGGCUUACCAAGGCUUUGACGGGUAGCCGGCCUGAGAGGGUGACCGGCCACAUUGGGACUGAGAUACGGCCCAGACUCCUACGGGAGGCAGCAGUGGGGAAUAUUGCACAAUGGGCGGAAGCCUGAUGCAGCAACGCCGCGUGCGGGAUGACGGCCUUCGGGUUGUAAACCGCUUUCGCCUGUGACGAAGCGUGAGUGACGGUAAUGGGUAAAGAAGCACCGGCUAACUACGUG
rnacentral:rRNA from 1 species